rnacentral:rRNA from 1 species
CCUACGGGUGGCAGCAGUGAGGAAUAUUGGUCAAUGGGCGAGAGCCUGAACCAGCCAAGUCGCGUGAGGGAGUACUGCCCUAUGGGUUGUAAACCUCUUUUGUCGGGGAGCAAAAGCCGGACGUGUCCGGCUGUGAGAGUACCCGAAGAAAAAGCAUCGGCUAACUCCGUGCCAGCAGCCGCGGUAAUACUGAGGAUGCGAGCGUUAUCCGGAUUUAUUGGGUUUAAAGGGUGCGCAGGCGGAUUUUUAAGUCAGCGGUAAAAUCGUGGGGCUCAACCCCAUCCAGCCGUUGAAACUGGGGAUCUAGAGUGUGCGAGAGGUAUGCGGAAUGCGUGGUGUAGCGGUGAAAUGCAUAGAUAUCACGCAGAACCCCGAUUGCGAAGGCAGCAUACCGGUGCACAACUGACGCUCAGGCACGAAAGCGUGGGUAUCGAACAGGAUUAGAUACCCCAGUAGUC